AGCUUUGCACAGUGGAAGUAUCAUAGCCAGUAAGGUUUAUCCAAGGCACAAUUAUUGCUAGUUGAGAACUUAAACUGAUGCAUUUAAUUAUUAGUAUCUAAGUUUCACUUAAAUAUUUCAUAUACAGCUGAGAUGA
ensembl:snRNA U4 U4 spliceosomal RNA